AGCAUUCUGUAUCUGUGCUGAGAUUUCGUCACACCAGACCACAAGAACUGAUGAGAUUUUCAAGAUAAAUGAAGCG
rnacentral:pre_miRNA from 1 species